GACAGAGGGGGCAAGCGUUGCUCGGAAUCACUGGGCGUAAAGGGCGCGUAGGCGGGAUGGCAAGUCGGUCGUGAAAUCCUUCGGCUCAACCGAAGAACGUCGGCCGAUACUGCCGUUCUUGAGGGAUGCAGAGGAGAUUGGAAUUCCCGGUGUAGCGGUGAAAUGUGUAGAGAUCGGGAGGAACACCGGUGGCGAAGGCGGCAUCCUGGACCAACACUGACGCUGAGGAGCGAAAGCCAGGGGAGCAAACGGG
rnacentral:rRNA from 1 species